UGAAGUAGAGGUCAUCAGUGGCGUGCAGUCACAGUCUACUCAAACUAAACACACUCAUAACCCUGGUGCGUCACGUCUUUGCUAUCUGUCUGUCUGUCUGUGACUCUCUCCCUCCAUCCAUCCCUCGCUCGCUCACUCGCUCCCUCCCUCUCUCCCUCCAUCCCUGCCUCGCUCCCUCCCUCCACCACAGGUGGGAACAGAGAUGUACUGGUCAGCCCUGGCUCAUACUUCUUCCUCUCCAACAGCUGUGGUCAGGGAGAGGAGUGGCUCAAGACCCUCAACAAGGGUGUCUGGAUACCCUUUACAGUGCCUACCAUAUAAAUCUGACCCCUGAGCCGGAUCAAUGCCCAGCAACACAUUUCACAAGAGAGAUGAACAUUCACAAUGGAUUCCUCGCACCGUCCCGGAGCAGUUAGUUGCUCCAUCCCUGAGCCUACUGUCUCUCUCUGACACACACGUCAUCCAGGAGACGUCGUCCAGGAGAGAGAUCUUCAGAGAUUAGAGGCUCACUGAGGCCACACAACCACCUAAUUAACAUCUUUAUUUUUCUGAGCUAGACUCAGCUGGGGCUGCAUGGGGCUCAUCAGGGGCCAGCGUCGUCCCACAGAGGCUUGGACUACAGGGGGAG
rnacentral:lncRNA from 8 species